rnacentral:rRNA from 1 species
CGUACACUCCUGCGGGAGGCAGCAGUGGGGAAUAUUGGACAAUGGGCGCAAGCCUGAUCCAGCCAUGCCGCGUGAGUGAUGAAGGCCCUAGGGUUGUAAAGCUCUUUCACCGGUGAAGAUAAUGACGGUAACCGGAGAAGAAGCCCCGGCUAACUUCGUGCCAGCAGCCGCGGUAAUACGAAGGGGGCUAGCGUUGUUCGGAUUUACUGGGCGUAAAGCGCACGUAGGCGGACUAUUAAGUCAGGGGUGAAAUCCCGGGGCUCAACCCCGGAACUGCCUUUGAUACUGGUAGUCUUGAGUUCGAGAGAGGUGAGUGGAAUUCCGAGUGUAGAGGUGAAAUUCGUAGAUAUUCGGAGGAACACCAGUGGCGAAGGCGGCUCACUGGCUCGAUACUGACGCUGAGGUGCGAAAGCGUGGGGAGCAAACAGGAUUAGAAACCCGGGUAGUCCCAUG